rnacentral:rRNA from 1 species
CAGCCGCCGCGGGAAUACAGAGGAUGCAAGCGUUAUCCGGAAUGAAUGGGCGUAAAGCGUCUGUAGGUGGCUUUUCAAGUCCGCCGUCAAAUCCCAGGGCUCAACCCUGGACAGGCGGUGGAAACUACCAAGCUGGAGUACGGUAGGGGCAGAGGGAAUUUCUGGUGGAGCGGUGAGAUGCGUUGAGAUCGGAAAGAACACCAACGGCGAAAGCACCCUGCUGGGCCGACACUGACACUGAGAGACGAAAGCUAGGGGAGCAAAUGGGAUUAGAUACCCCCGUAGUCCCUGUCUCUUAUAC